rnacentral:snRNA from 1 species
ACACUUACCUGGAAGAGGAGAGACCAUGAUCAUGAAGAUGGUUUUCCCAGGGCGAGAACUCGACUGCAUAAUUUGUGGUAGUGGGAGACUGUGUUCACACUCUCCCA